UUGGGGGAGAGGGGUGAGGGUGUUGACUGAUGUGGAGUCAAAGAGUCCAGAGGGACUAGAUGGACAGACCUGCUCUUUGUGGGUUCUCCUAAGGGAGGCAGGGGGCUGGCAGGGCACCCCAGGAGCAGAGAUAGAGCUGACCUCACUGCCACAAUCUGAAGAACUGGGAAGGUCUCUUCAGAGAGAUUCCAUUUCGAGGAGAAAAAUGAAUCAGCAUGCGAAGUGGAACUGUGCCUGGUCCCUACCGCUCCUGUCUCAGCCUCUGGGCAGCUCUCCUCCCAAGAGCGCUUGACAGCAGAGGAUGCCAGUGAGGCUGACAUUCAAUUCUACUAGAACCAGAGAGAAAUAAAUUUGAAUAAUAAAGGGCCUUUGAACUCUAACAUCUGGUGAACCUGAAUUUGACACCUGAUGGAGAGCAAGGCCAGUGAGGCUUUUCACUCACUAUGCAAUGAUUAUCAAUUCGCCAAGGACAAUAACAGUCAGAUACUGGAGAAGAGGAGGUAUGAGAAACAUCUUUUAUUUUUUUUCUGAAGAGGUGAAAAUAAGUAAGAUUUCUUAUAUUUCUCACUCAUAAGAUUUUUAAACUCUUAAAAAUGCAAUUACCUUUUCUCAAAGCACAUGCCAUUAAAAAAAAUCUUAGCAAUGUACAUUUGCACUCGAAGAAAAACAUGCAGCGCCAUUGUCUUCUGACAAAAUUCUGCAUAAAAACCCCCACAUGACUUUCUGCAAAUAUAUUCCCUCUUUAUCACUUAGGGACUCCAACCCCAUUCAGUGCAAUACUUAUUGUUUCUUAUUUCCGUAGGAAACACAGGGCCAGUGAUGUCUUGAGUACAACUGUUUCCUGCUGGUUGAGCAACAGUCUCCCGCUACUUUAUUUUAAAGUACUCUCUUUCACUUGCUGAUGUAAGGUACAACUAGACUUCUGUAAAACUUGAGGAUCCAAGUGGAUGACGGAGGAGAAAUACUUA